rnacentral:rRNA from 1 species
GAUGAACGCUGGCGGCGUGCCUAAUACAUGCAAGUCGAGCGAACGGACGAGAAGCUUGCUUCUCUGAUGUUAGCGGCGGACGGGUGAGUAACACGUGGAUAACCUACCUAUAAGACUGGGAUAACUUCGGGAAACCGGAACUAAUACCGGAUGAUAUUUUGAACCGCAUGGUUCAAAAGUGAAAGACGGUCUUGCUGUCACUUAUAGAUGGAUCCGCGCUGCAUUAGCUAGUUGGUAAGGUAACGGCUUACCAAGGCAACGAUGCAUAGCCGACCUGAGAGGGUGAUCGGCCACACUGGAACUGAGACACGGUCCAGACUCCUACGGGAGGCAGCAGUAGGGAAUCUUCCGCAAUGGGCGAAAGCCUGACGGAGCAACGCCGCGUGAGUGAUGAAGGUCUUCGGAUCGUAAAACUCUGUUAUUAGGGAAGAACAUAUGUGUAAGUAACUGUGCACAUCUUGACGGUACCUAAUCAGAAAGCCACGGCUAACUAC